UCAAUUCGAUGAUCUGAUUUGUCCACACUGUGGAACUUGUCAAUUAGAAUUAUUCUGUAUCACAUCAAUUCAAUCUAAUGCCUCUUGGAGUUUAAUCGAAGAAGAUAUAUCUCAAAAAAAAAUUGAUAAAAGUGAGCCGGAUACACUUGAUUACAACUUGAAAGGGCCUUUUGUUUUUUUCUUCUCCUUCUGGUCGUCGGGGUCCGUUAUUACCGGGGCAAAUCCGAAGUCGACCUUCGCCGCCGCCGAUCCGAGUUCCGGUCACCGUUGCAAAUCCAAGUCUAACUCGUCCACGCGGCCGAACCCGUUGCAUUUAAUCCAAUUCCAUGGCCGUAUCGGUAUUAGAAAUUGAUGGAAGGUAUAUCAUGCCUCCCACGUGUUUUACAUUUGGCUUAUGAAAGAAAGUUGUUUCUGUGAAGUCUUGAUUCGAAAAUGAGCAGCACAUUCUUUCAUCUGAAGGUUUCUGGGUUCACGGAUGAAUGAGAAAGUUUUGCAGAUGGUAGUAAAAAAAAGAGGGUAAAAAAGAUUGCAGGCUUCAAACUUCCACGCGAGUCGAGGACCAAAAUUCAAUCCGAGGGGAUACAAACCCAGUUGCAGACGUGAUGCUAUGGACGAGAAAGCUCUUACAGUGGAGAUUCUGUAAGUAACUCUUGCUGUUUGGUUGGUGUUUGAUAUAUCUGGCUAUGCCCUUCUAUCACUUGUCUAGUGUUCGUUUCCUCUGGGCUUAUUCUGCAGAAAUUCUGAAUUGGUAACCUUCAAUAAUUUCUGAUGUUUUUAUGCUUCUUUUCCGUAGUAAGAUGAUGGUGUUUGUCAACCUUAAGGUAUCCAACUAUAGUUAUUUACAGUACCGGUUAUGGGCUCCUGCACUGUUGUUUCGAAUCAUUCUUGACCUUAUUCUUAACUGCAGUCUUUUGGGUACUCGUAUUUUGACAUGUGAUCAGCUUGCAUCACUGAGGACAUCUCAGAGCCACUAGCCAAAGAAAUAGCAAUGACUAGGAGUCCUUAUACCAGGUGUUCCAGGUCCAUUGUCUUCCGACAAAGCUAAAUCGCGUCUCUUGCUCUCAAUUCUGCAGCUUUUGAAAGAAAGCUAUGGCUGAGGCACCAACCUUAUUGGAAACCAACACAUAUAGGCUAAGGGUCAGGUUUGUUGUACAACAGAGGCUGAGUAAUAAAGACAGGUUGAGGGGCUCGGGAAUGAUGCUUGAUUAUUGUUGUUGCUUGUGCAGAAAUGAUGUAGAAACACUCGAUCAUAGCCAUCUCUCUUUUGAAUGCUCUUAUUCCUGAUCCAUUUGAAAGAGUUUGAUGUCCAGAAACAUGGGUCGAGGCAUGCCUUGGAAAAUGGUGAACAUUUUUGAAUGGUUCAGCUUUGAUGUCAAGGGCAAGGGCCUCAAAAGUAUUUAGUCUUCAGUUGCUCUUUGGCUGCUGCAGUUUAUAGCUUUUGGAGGGAAAGAAAUCGUAGCGUAUUUCAAGGCAAAUUAACUGAACAAUCUCAGCUCUUGCUCAGAAUUUCCAAUGAAGUUAGGGAUUUGCCGAACUUUCUUUUCUCUCUUAAUAAUGGGUUUUUACUUCCCGUAAGCUCUUAUCCAAUACCCAUCAGGCCAUCAUUGAAAUAGUGUUUGGCUAACUCAAUUGACCAUGACUGCAAAUAAUGCAAAAUACUUUCUGGGUCUAUCUCAUCCAAUGCACCUUUUUCGUCUUCCUGGGUUCUUGUGAUUGGAUCUAAAGUAAUGGUUUUCGAUUGGCACUAACUGAAAUUAACUUCCUUUCUAUGAUAUUACUCGGUACGUCUUUACUAUAUAGAGUAAAUUUUUAAGGAAAAGAUCAAACAAUUUUCAACU